rnacentral:rRNA from 1 species
AAUGUAGCAAUACAUGGCGUACUGCUCAGUAACACGUGGAUAACCUGCCCUUAGGACGGGGAUAAACCCGGGAAACUGGGUAUAAUACCUGAUAGAUCUCGAUUGCUGGAAUGCAUCGAGAUCUAAAGCUCCGGCGCCUAAGGAUGGAUCUGCGGCCUAUCAGGUAGUAGUGGGUGUAGCGUACCUACUAGCCUACGACGGGUACGGGUUGUGAGAGCAAGAGCCCGGAGAUGGAUUCUGAGACACGAAUCCAGGCCCUACGGGGUGCAGCAGGCGCGAAAACUUUACAAUGCUGGCAACAGCGAUAAGGGGACCUCGAGUGCCAGGUUACAAAUCUGGCUGUCGUGAUGCCUAAAAAGCAUUGCAUAGCAAGGGCCGGGCAAGACCGGUGCCAGCCGCCGCGGUAACACCGGCGGCUCGAGUGGUAACCGUUAUUAUUGGGUCUAAAGGGUCUGUAGCCGGCCGGAUAAGUCUCUUGGGAAAUCUGGCAGCUUAACUGUCAGGCUUUCAGGAGAUACUGUCUGGCUCGAGGCCGGGAGAGGUGAGAGGUACUUCAGGGGUAGGGGUGAAAUCUUGUAAUCCUUGAAGGACCACCAGUGGCGAAGGCGCCUCACCAGAACGGACCUGACGGCAAGGGACGAAAGCUAGGGGCACGAACCGGAUUAGAUACCCGGGUAGUCCUAGCCGUAAACGAUACUCGCUAGGUGUCGGCCACGGUGCGACCGUUGUCGGUGCCGUAGGGAAGCCGUGAAGCGAGCCACCUGGGAAGUACGGCCGCAAGGCUGAAACUUAAAGGAAUUGGCGGGGGAGC